GGCCUCGUAGCGCAGCUGGUAGAGCGUGCGCUGUACAAAAGCGUAAGCAGCAUUCAUGCGUGAGUUAGAAUCCCACCAAGGUUA
rnacentral:tRNA from 1 species